rnacentral:rRNA from 1 species
GACGAACGCUGGCGGCGUGCUUAACACAUGCAAGUCGAACGGUAAGGCCUUCGGGUACACGAGUGGCGAACGGGUGAGUAACACGUGGGUGAUCUGCCCCCUACUCUGGGAUAAGCCUGGGAAACUGGGUCUAAUACCGGAUAUGACCUCCUGCUUCAUGGUGGGUGGUGGAAAGUUUUUUCGGUAGGGGAUGAUCCCGCGGCCUUUCCGCUUGUUGGUGGGGUAAUGGCCUACCAAGGCGACGACGGGUAGCCGGGUUGAGAGGUCGACCGGCAUGACUGGGGCUGAAGCACGGCACCAAAUACUGCGGGAGGAAGCAGUAGGGAAUAUUGCACAAUGGGCGAACGACUGAUGCAGCGACGCCGAAUGGGGGAUGACGGCCUUCGGGUUGUAGACCCCUCUCAGGCGGGACGAAGCGCAAGUGACGGUACAGAUUGAAGAAGCACCGGCCAACUACGUGCCGGCCGCCGCGGUAACAC